GCGGCGGUGGCGGAACUGGCAGACGCGUACGUUUGAGGGGCGUAUGGGCUAAUCCCGUGUGGGUUCAAGUCCCACCCGCCGCA
rnacentral:tRNA from 2 species